UGAGGCUUCCGGCCACCCAGCCUAGCCCCAGCUGGAUUGGGGGAGAGCGUACCUGGGGCCUUCGGAUUUGGCUUGGGUUCCAGUGGUGCCACGUUCUUGUGCCUUCCCCACAGGGUCUUGGAAAACCGGAGGCGAUUGGACCGUGACUCCUUAGGGGGUGCAGAGAGGACCCGACGAAACAGAGAUCUGGGGGCUGGCUGGCUGUUCACCAUGGGCUCCUGAUGGCUCAGGGCCCUUCCCCAGCCUGCAAAGCGGCCCCAGCGGAACCCUCCAGCAGCCUUUUCCCCACUGCCUCCAGUGUGCCAGCGGUAGGAUGUCAGCGGAGAGGGCAGCGAGGGCUGCGUUUGGGAAUCUUCUUCACUCUGCAACGGUGGGUCCAUGGCGGAGGAGUCUCUGCUGCGAGACCAAAAGGUUCUGAACAUUGUCUGCCCACAUUCUGGCUUCAUCUUCCCUGGUCUCUUCUCAGCUUCGCCUCCAGGAACAUACUUGAGGAUGCCACACGUACACCCUCCCUUACCUUGAUUUCCUGGCCAGUCCAGAACCAGCAGCCGUCUGUACUGUGCCUAGCUUCCUUCCUCAGAACCUAGCUCCACGUGACCCUGUCUUGUCUCCCCCGCCCCCCCCCCUUUACAGUCAGGCUGGGAGGGCAUGAUGGGGGCAGGAUGCGGAGGUGGCGGGGUGGAAGAGAGGUUGGCAGUUCUGGCUUCUGACGAGAAGGUCUAGGAGGCAGUACAUACUUCUCUUUGAGCUUCAGUUGCCUUCUGUGAAAUGGGAACAUCUUGGAUAAAUGCUGGCUAGCAAGGCCCCCUAAAGUCUCCUGGUGGCCGGAGUGUGGAAAGACUCACUUAUGUAGGGAAGCUGCCACAAUUUUAUUGGAAUGGAUUUAUUAUUUGUGUGUGUGUGGAUGCUAUAGUGCUCAUAUGGUGAUCAAAGGACAGCCAUGUGGAGGUAGAGUCAGUUCUCUCCCACCUUUGUGUGAGAUUGGAGGCUGGAACUCCGGAUCGUACAUGGCAAGUGACAUUACCCGCUGAGCCAUUCACCAGCCCCUCCACCUUGGGAGUGGAACCUAGGGCCUGGGUGCAAGGCCUAUGCUCUAUUACUUAGCCACAUGCCUAGCCGUCUUUUCAUUUUUUAUUAUACAGACCGGGCCUUGAGCUCACGGCAUGUGUUGUAGCCCAGGCUGGCCUUGGACUCUUGGCUAGACGUUCCCCAAACCAGUGUUAAGUUAGAACUAAAGAUUGCAUGUUCGUGACAGUUGUAGCCCUCAUUGUGCCACACCUCCAGUCCUUGUUCUAGCAUGGUUAUGUGGCUCUCCUCAGAUCCAGUAUUUCCCCUGCUAGGCAGACAUCCAAUAGACAUGGCCACCAACACUGCACCUAAGGACUCCAUAGACCCCAGGUGUCCACUGACAGCUGGACAAAUACUCAGUGACAUUUCCACACCGAAGAGUAUCGUAUAGCAAGGAAAAUGAAUAAAUUCUUUAACUAAUGAUGUCAGACGAAUCACAGUGCGGAACAAAAGCAAAAGCUGAAGAGUAUACCCUGUGUGAGUUCAGUCAUCUAGUAUAGAGUCCUAACCUUUACUCAGAGUGAUAACUACACACACACAUAAAAAUCUAGUACUUAGGAAUCUGAGGCAGGAAGCUUGUGAGUUCAAGGGGGAGCCAGGGCUCUCCUGCAAGACCCUGUAUCAAAGAAUAAAAAAACUAAAGAAGAAAGAAAGAAGGAAAGAAAGUAAGAAAGAAAGAGAGAAAGAAAGAAAGAGAAAGGAAGGAAGGAAGAAAAAAAAGAAAGAAAGAAAGAAAG
rnacentral:lncRNA from 1 species